AACUGUGUGAAUGGAAUAUUAAUGAGAGUCAUUCAAUAUGCUGUAAUAGAAAUAAGGUCAUGCUCAUUAUUAUUAUUUUUUUACGUCACUGACCACUGGCGUAGAACUAGAAUAGAUGAUAUGUAAACAAGUAGUGAAAGUGAACUUUAAAAGUACUUUAGUAGUACUACUACUUUACUGCUGUUCUAGAAUAAAUGGCUUGUUAAACACCAUAACAACAUGAGUAACACAUUUCAACCACAUGGUUCUUGUCAGCCAAUGUUGCUGUUUCCUUCUGCAUUUGGAAGAAGCCACAUUUCUGACACCCACAAACCCUCAGAGUGUACUGUAGCAAUGGUCGCCAUGUGACUUUAUAAGUGGCAGGGAAAAACAUCUCAAACUGCCUAACGGCAUAAAAAUUCCCCUUAAGAACACUUUCACUUCUUACGCAUGACUCUCACUUCCCUUUCCUUCUCUGUCUUUGUACAAUAACGGUGAGAGGAGAGAAUUUAAACACCUGCCUGUAAUGACAAGGUCACACAGUGAAAAAGGAUGUGCUGUGUGGGUAGUCUCCCCUUGGGUUCGUGCCGUGGGGGAGAUCUUUGUGGGCUAUACUCGGCCUUGUCUCAGGAUAGACCUGAGCCCUAGGACCAUGCCUCAGGACUACCUGGCCUGAUGACUCCUUGCUGUCCCCAGUCCACCUGGUCGUGCUGCUGCUCCAGUUUCAACUGUUCUGCCUGCGGCUAUGGAACCCUAACCUGUUCACUGGACGUCUUACCUUGUCCCAGACCUGCUGUUUUCAACUCUCUAGAGACAGCAAGAGCGGUAGAGAUACUCUGAAUGAUUGGCUAUGAAAAGCCAACUGACAUUUACUCCUGAGGUGCUGACCUGUUGUACCCUCUACAACCACUGUGAUUAUUAUUAUUUGACCCUGCUGGUCAUAUAUGAACAUUUGAACAUCUUGGCCAUGUUCUGUUAUAAUCUCCACCCGGCACAGCCAGAAGAGGACUGGCCACCCCUCAGAGCCUGGAUCCUCUCUAGGUUUCUUCCUAGGUUCUGGCCUUUCUAUGGAGAUUUUCCUAGCCACCGUGCUUCUACACCUGCAUUGCUUACUGUUUGGGGUUUUAGGCUGGGCUUCUGUACAGCACUUUGUGACAUCAGCUGAUGUAAGAAGGGCUUUACAAAUAAAUUUGAUUGAUUGAUAGUUGUAAGGGGUAUACAUUUGAUUGAUUGAUAGUUGUAUGGGUAUGAGUCUCAGGUCUGGAAGGGGGAUUGUGUGUGACCUACAACUGAGUGAAAUCUGGGGUGUAUUUACUAGGAAGCAAAUGGAGAGGGACGAUCUGAACUUGUCCAAUUAGAAACUCUCGUUUCGUUUCAUGGUGUGCACUAAUGAAUACAACCCUAAAAACGUGCUGCCCUGUCAGUGAGAAUGAUAAUACAUUACCGAAAUACUACUGUUUCUCACACUUAAAAUACUAUCUUUGAGAAUUUAAACAUGAAACAUAAAACAAUAAAAUGCGACAUGCAAACGUAAUGUACUAAUAGGUACAAUACUAGAACACGUCAAAAUCUGAAGACGUAGGUCUAGCUAUGUGAUUUCUCUUGACUCAAAACCAUGUGAAUACAUUUUUUUCCCUCCAAAUGACAACCAAGAAACACAAAGAAACCAGUCAUUUUUUUUGUCUUAACUCUAUUUGAAAGGCUACAACGAAAAAACAAUAUGGAACAGUAUUAUGCCACUGAAAAACUUGUUCAAAACACAUGUAGAUGAGUGCUGCAAGCCAGUUCUGCUCAAUCAAUUUGGAGAAAAUAAUUUCAUGGCUCAUUAGAAAUUGUCAUUGUCAAAUGUUUGGAAAUAAUAAGAUUUACUGCUAUUUGUCUUUGAAUUUAAAAAUAAACGUUCAUUACUUGUGCUAUGAUGUUUAUCAGUUACAGCUGAACAAAAAAAUCUGAUAUAAACACGGAGAUGGAAUCUAAUAUAGAAACAGUGGGGCUGGACAAUGUUUUCUGCAAUAUUAGACAAAAUAAUGGAAAUAAAUUCAGUUCUUCCACAUUUCA